rnacentral:misc_RNA from 1 species
AAUCCGAGAAUUUCACCUCUGACGCCGGAAUACAAAUGCCCCCAACCGUCCCUCUUAAUCAUUACCCGGUCCUCACAAACCAAUAAAACAGAACACAGGUCCUAUUCUAUUAUUCCAUGCUAAGGUAUUCAUGGCAAACGCCCGCUUUGAACACUCUAAUUUUUUCACAGUAAACGGUGGCAGCGACAACGAGCCCGCACUCAAGCGGAUCCGUGCCCCCCUCCACAAAGGCGGCCGACCCAGGUCCGUCCGCGAAGACGCCCCGUCUCGCCCGCCAACCUCCGACUACGAGCGUUUUAACUGCAACAACUUGGGUAUACGCUUACAGAGCUGGAAUUACCGCU